rnacentral:rRNA from 1 species
UCCUGGCUCAGAUUGAACGCUGGCGGCAGGCCUAACACAUGCAAGUCGAGCGGUAGAGAGAAGCUUGCUUCUCUUGAGAGCGGCGGACGGGUGAGUAAUGCCUAGGAAUCUGCCUGGUAGUGGGGGAUAACGUUCGGAAACGGACGCUAAUACCGCAUACGUCCUACGGGAGAAAGCAGGGGACCUUCGGGCCUUGCGCUAUCAGAUGAGCCUAGGUCGGAUUAGCUAGUUGGUGAGGUAAUGGCUCACCAAGGCGACGAUCCGUAACUGGUCUGAGAGGAUGAUCAGUCACACUGGAACUGAGACACGGUCCAGACUCCUACGGGAGGCAGCAGUGGGGAAUAUUGGACAAUGGGCGAAAGCCUGAUCCAGCCAUGCCGCGUGUGUGAAGAAGGUCUUCGGAUUGUAAAGCACUUUAAGUUGGGAGGAAGGGCAGUUACCUAAUACGUGAUUGCUUUGACGUUACCGACAGAAUAAGCACCGGCUAACUCUGUGCCAGCAGCCGCGGUAAUACAGAGGGUGCAAGCGUUAAUCGGAAUUACUGGGCGUAAAGCGCGCGUAGGUGGUUUGUUAAGUUGGAUGUGAAAUCCCCGGGCUCAACCUGGGAACUGCAUUCAAAACUGACUGACUAGAG